rnacentral:rRNA from 1 species
GAUGAACGCUGGCGGCGUGCUUAACACAUGCAAGUCGAACGGGAAUUAUUUUAUUGAAACUUCGGUCGAUUUAAUUUAAUUCUAGUGGCGGACGGGUGAGUAACGCGUGGGUAACCUGCCUUAUACAGGGGGAUAACAGUCAGAAAUGGCUGCUAAUACCGCAUAAGCGCACAGAGCUGCAUGGCUCAGUGUGAAAAACUCCGGUGGUAUAAGAUGGACCCGCGUUGGAUUAGCUGGUUGGUGGGGUAACGGCCCACCAAGGCGACGAUCCAUAGCCGGCCUGAGAGGGUGAACGGCCACAUUGGGACUGAGACACGGCCCAGACUCCUACGGGAAGCAGCAGUGGGGAAUAUUGCACAAUGGGGGAAACACUGAUGCAGCGAAGCCGCGUGAAGGAAGAAGUAUCUCGGUAUGUAAACUUCUAUCAGCAGGGAAGAGAGUGACGGUACCUGACUAAGAAGCCCCGGCUAACUACGUG